rnacentral:rRNA from 1 species
CCUACGGGAGGCAGCAGUGGGGAAUAUUGGACAAUGGGGGCAACCCUGAUCCAGCCAUGCCGCGUGUGUGAAGAAGGCCCUCGGGUUGUAAAGCACUUUCAGUGAGGAAGAACGCCUGGUGGUUAAUACCCAUCAGGAAAGACAUCACUCACAGAAGAAGCACCGGCUAACUCCGUGCCAGCAGCCGCGGUAAUACGGAGGGUGCGAGCGUUAAUCGGAAUUACUGGGCGUAAAGCGCGCGUAGGUGGCUUGAUAAGCCGGUUGCGAAAGCCCCGGGCUCAACCUGGGAACGGCAUCCGGAACUGUCAAGCUAGAGUGCAGGAGAGGAAGGUAGAAUUCCCGGUGUAGCGGUGAAAUGCGUAGAGAUCGGGAGGAAUACCAGUGGCGAAGGCGGCCUUCUGGACUGACACUGACACUGAGGUGCGAAAGCGUGGGUAGCAAACAGGAUUAGAUACCCUGGUAGUC